rnacentral:lncRNA from 1 species
AGUUCAUCUUUGUCAUCUUUUGUCAAAACUUCUAUUCAGCUUGAAUAGAGCCUUCAGUUUCAACACUGAAGUUUAGAAGAGACAGACAGACAACCUCAGGAUACUAUUCUUUAAAAAAAACAAAAAAUACGGAAGCAGGUAAGGCAUGCCUGUGACCCUUAGAACUUAAGGACACUGUGGGCUAAUGAGGAAGUUUCAGAAGAGCCUAGGCUGUGCAGGUUCAAAAGAAUGUUCCUGAACGUGACAGAUAACCAAGGAAAGCAGAGGAGUGCCAGAGGCGAGACAGACCCCGAGACAAGCUCCCUCAGGACAGGCUGAGUAGCCCAGGCUGUCCUCAGAUUUCCAACUUUCCUGCCAUAGCCUCCUGCACCUGGGCUCAAACGCUUUGUUGCUGGUGGUAAGGGUUUGUUUGCCUUUUGUCUUUUUUGAAAGAGGUUCUCACUGCAUUGCUGGCCUGGACCUCACUACAUAGACCAGGCUGUCCUGGGACUCAACGGGAUCCCCCUGCUUCUGAUUCACACAGUUCUGAAAAACUGAUAGUUUUUGUUAUGGCAGUCAAGGAAGAGGCUCACAAUGCCUGAGUGUUUCCAACUCAACAGUUCCUGAAAACCCUCACGCUACGAUGAUUCUUCCAUCGAACUGUAGACAACGCCACACUGAAGAUCAAAGUCAGCUUGUUGGCUUUUCACACGAUUUCUUCCCCCUGCAAGUCUGAGCCUAAGCAGCAAGCCAAGGAGUGACUGCUGACAUUCAGCAGCCGAGUAUUUUAGAGCAGUGACAGCCUCAAAGCUACCAGAUGCUUCCUCCAGU